rnacentral:rRNA from 1 species
GACGAACGCUGGCGGCGUGGAUUAGGCAUGCAAGUCGAACGGUAUCAUCCUUUCGGGGGUGAGAGAGUGGCGAACUGGUGAGUAACACGUAGGUUAUCUACCCUCAAGACGGGGACAACCCAGGGAAACUUGGGCUAAUACCGGAUGUGAGCAACUUUUAGUUGUUUGAAAGGUGGCGUAAGCUGUCGCUUGGGGAUGAGCCUGCGUCCUAUUAGUUAGUUGGUGAGGUAACGGCUCACCUAGGCAAUGAUAGGUAGGCGGCCUUAACGGGUGGUCGCCCACACUGGGAUUGAGAUACGGCCCAGACUCCUACGGGAGGCAGCAGUCGAGAAUAGUCUACAAUGGUCGGAAGACUGAUAGUGCGACGCCGCGUGAACGAUGAAUCCCUUCGGGGUGUAAAGUUCUUUUAUAUGUGAGCAGUGCUUCUUAUAUUAACAGUAUGGGGAGAGAGAUAUUAGCAUAUGAAUAAGCAACGGCUAACUCCGUGCCAGCAGCCGCGAU